CAGGAGCAAGGGGAAACCCUUCUCCUUCAACUACUUACAAGAACUCAAGAAUUGAACCUGAUUUUGGGGAGAAAUCGGAUGCAUGAGCUUAUAUUCUUAAUCAUCUAGACAAGAUGAACAUGUGAAUUGGAAUCACACGAGCAUGGGCCAAGCAUGGAAGGCUAACGGGUCAAGAUGAGGCAAGGAAGCGGUUACGAGCACGGAUGCACAAGGUGCUACACGGACUUCUUUUGCUGCUAAGGAAGUGAAGCGGACGUAGAUCGAGUCAAGAGCAAGGAUUGUACGGAUAGAUCGGUCACAUAGUUGAAGUAUAUA